GGUUCAUGGCUCAGUGGUAGAGUGCUUGCCUAGUAUGCAUGAGACACUGGGUUCAAUCCCCAAUGCCA
rnacentral:tRNA from 1 species